GGCUUGGUGGUCUAGUGGUAUGAUUCUCGCUUAGGGUAAACCCUAUAGCUUAGCUUGCGAGGAGGUCCCGGGUUCAAUUCCCCGGCCAAGCCC